AGGUUCAGAAUUCAUUGAGAUGUUUGUCGGAGUGGGGGCUUCGAGAGUGCGGGAUCUGUUUAACAAGGCAAAGAUGAACUCUCCAUGCCUGGUAUUUAUUGAUGAGAUUGAUGCAGUAGGAAGGCAGAGGGGAACAGGAAUUGGAGGAGGAAAUGAUGAAAGAGAACAGACACUGAAUCAGCUACUCACUGAAAUGGAUGGUUUUAGUGGUGAUAGUGGAGUUAUUGUAAUUGCUGCUACUAACAGACCAGAAGUUCUUGAUUCAGCUUUGCUCAGACCAGGAAGAUUUGAUCGACAGGUAACAAAAUUGUUUCCACACUGUUAUUAGACAAGGCCACAAGAUUUAGCAAUGGUAUCAUAAUACAGUGAACAUACGAUUACAGUCAAAUGUAAGGCGUGAAAGCAGAUAUAGUUUGUCAGUUUCAGCAGGUGUAACAAAACUGUGCAAUCUACCUUACGAGAGAGAGACUAUUAUUUACUCUUACUUUGCCUUGCAGGUAACUGUUGGAUUGCCUGACAUCAGAGGAAGGGAAGAAAUACUAAAAGUGCAUAGCAGCAAUAAGAAGCUCGACAAAGAUAUAUCCUUGAGUGUUAUUGCAAUGAGAACACCAGGAUUCAGUGGUGCAGACCUGGCAAACUUGAUGAAUGAAGCAGCAAUUCUUGCUGGAAGGCGAGGAAAAACUAGAAUAACAGCAAAAGAGAUUGAUGAUUCAAUCGAUCACAUUGUGGCUGGCUUGGAAGGAACCAAGAUGACAGAUGGGAAAAGCAAGAUACUGGUGGCUUACCACGAGAUUGGACAUGCCAUUUGCGCG
rnacentral:lncRNA from 1 species